rnacentral:rRNA from 1 species
GGGGAAUAUUGGACAAUGGGCGCAAGCCUGAUCCAGCAAUGCCGCGUGGGUGAAGAAGGUUUUCGGAUUGUAAAGCCCUUUCGGCGGGGACGAUGAUGACGGUACCCGCAGAAGAAGCCCCGGCUAACUUCGUGCCAGCAGCCGCGGUAAUACGAAGGGGGCUAGCGUUGCUCGGAAUGACUGGGCGUAAAGGGCGCGUAGGCGGUUCUGCAAGUUAGAUGUGAAAUUCCUGGGCUUAACCUGGGGGCUGCAUUUGAUACUGUAGGGCUUGAGUAUGGAAGAGGGUCGUGGAAUUCCCAGUGUAGAGGUGAAAUUCGUAGAUAUUGGGAAGAACGCCGGUGGCGAAGGCGGCGACCUGGUCCAUAACUGACGCUGAGGCGCGAAAGCGUGGGGAGCAAAC